rnacentral:misc_RNA from 1 species
GAUGAAGAACGUAGCAAAAUGCGAUACUUGGUGUGAAUUGCAGAAUCCCGUGAACCAUCGAGUUUUUGAACGCAAGUUGCGCCCGAAGCCUUUUGGCCGAGGGCACGUCUGCCUGGGCGUCACGCAUCGCGUCGCCCCCCACAAUUCUCCGUAAAGGGAACGUGUGUUUUGGGGGCGGAUAUUGGUCUCCCGUGCUCAUGGCGUGGUUGGCCGAAAUAGGAGUCCUUUCGAUGGACGCACGAACUAGUGGUGGUCGUAAAAACCCUCGUCCUUUGUUUCGUGCUGUUGCUCGCAAGGUAAACUCUUUAAAAACCCCAAUGUGUCGUCUCUUGACGACGCUUCGACCGCGACCCCAGGUCAGGCGGGACUACCCGCUGAGUUUAAGCAUAUCAAUAAGCGGAGGA